rnacentral:pre_miRNA from 2 species
AUGUAAGGCAAUCUUUCAGUAAUGACACAUUACUCUUAAAAAAAAAUCCUAGUUUUCCUUUCAAGUCAAAUGUCUUGU